rnacentral:sRNA from 1 species
GCUGGGCAUGGAGGCACAUUCCUGUAAUUCCAGGAACUUGGAAGGCUGAAGCAGGAGAAUUGUGAGUUAGAGGCUCAGCAACUUAAUGAGACCCUGUUUCAA